ACUAUCUGGGGUGCCUUUAGGCUGAGAAGAAACCCAUCGAACCUGAUCUGGCCAAUACCAGCGAAGGGAGCAU
rnacentral:ncRNA from 1 species